UCUGUGUACUUCUGUGUCUUUAUACUGAGGAUCAUAGAAGUUAAAGUUUUAAAGCUUUGCUG
rnacentral:tRNA from 1 species